rnacentral:lncRNA from 1 species
UUAGGGAGCUACCAUUUGAUUUUUAGGGGGGGGGGCUAGGAUGAAAUUUGAAAAAAAUAGGCAGGACAGGAGUUUUGAGUAAAAAAAAAGGCAGGAUGAGACACUUGCAAAAAAAAAAAAGUCAGGACGACAAUUUAGGUAAAAAAAAGUCAGGAUAAACUAAAAAAAAAGGCAGGACCGAACAGAGUGAAAAAUAAAAAGGCAGGACAGAGAUUACAGCUAAAAAAAAUGCAGGACAAAAUUUUUCAUCCUAGCCCCCCCCCCAUAAA